GUGCUCACACUGGAAGCACAUAUACAAAAUUGGAAUCAUACAGAGAAAAUAAGCAUGUCCUCUGUUCAAGGAUGAUAUAAAUUUAUGAUACAUUUCAUAUUUUU